rnacentral:rRNA from 1 species
AAAAAAGGUAAGCUACUAAGAGCGAAUGGUGGAUGCCUUGACUGGUAAAGGCGAUGAAGGACGUACUAGACUGCGAUAAGCUACGGGGAGCUGUCAAGAAGCUUUGAUCCGUAGAUUUCCGAAUGGGGCAACCCAAUGUAUAGAGAUAUACAUUACCUAUAUAGGAGCGAACGAGGGGAAUUGAAACAUCUUAGUACCCUCAGGAAAAGAAAUCAAUAGAGAUUGCGUCAGUAGCGGCGAGCGAAAGCGCAAGAGGGCAAACCCAGUGCUUGCACUGGGGGUUGUAGGACUGCAAUGUGCAAGAGCUGAGUUUAGCAGAACAUUCUGGAAAGUAUAGCCAUAGAGGGUGAUAGUCCCGUAUGCGAAAAACAAAGCUUAGCUAGCAGUAUCCUGAGUAGGGCGGGACACGAGGAAUCCUGUCUGAAUCCGGGUCGACCACGAUCCAACCCUAAAUACUAAUACCAGAUCGAUAGUGCACAAGUACCGUGAGGGAAAGGUGAAAAGAACUGAGGUGAUCAGAGUGAAAUAGAACCUGAAACCAUUUGCUUACAAUCAUUCAGAGCACUAUGUAGCAAUACAGUGUGAUGGACUGCCUUUUGCAUAAUGAGCCUGCGAGUUGUGGUGUCUGGCAAGGUUAAGCAAACGCGAAGCCGUAGCGAAAGCGAGUCUGAAUAGGGCGCUUAGUCAGAUGCUGCAGACCCGAAACGAAGUGAUCUAUCCAUGAGCAAGUUGAAGCUAGUGUAAGAACUAGUGGAGGACUGAACCCAUAGGCGUUGAAAAGCCCCGGGAUGACUUGUGGAUAGGGGUGAAAGGCCAAUCAAACUUCGUGAUAGCUGGUUCUCUCCGAAAUAUAUUUAGGUAUAGCGUUGUGUCGUAAUAUAAGGGGGUAGAGCACUGAAUGGGCUAGGGCAUACACCAAUGUACCAAACCCUAUCAAACUCCGAAUACCUUAUAUGUAAUCACAGCAGUCAGGCGGCGAGUGAUAAAAUCCGUCGUCAAGAGGGAAACAACCCAGACUACCAGCUAAGGUCCCUAAAUCUUACUUAAGUGGAAAACGAUGUGAAGUUACUUAAACAACCAGGAGGUUGGCUUAGAAGCAGCCAUCCUUUAAAGAAAGCGUAAUAGCUCACUGGUCUAGUGAUUUUGCGCGGAAAAUAUAACGGGGCUAAAGUAAGUACCGAAGCUGUAGACUUGCACACAACUUAGAUUAUUUAAGUUUAGAAUAUGAGAAACUAAGUUAUAUGUUUAGUUAUAUUUUUACUGAUUUUUAUAGAGUAAAGAUAGAAAUAAAACUUAGUAAAAUCAGUAAAAAUAUUCUUAGGCUAAAGUUAAGUAGUUUAAGUUGUGUGCAAGUGGUAGGAGAGCGUUCUAUUUGCGUCGAAGGUAUACCGGUAAGGAGUGCUGGAGCGAAUAGAAGUGAGCAUGCAGGCAUGAGUAGCGAUAAUUAAUGUGAGAAUCAUUAACGCCGUAAACCCAAGGUUUCCUACGCGAUGCUCGUCAUCGUAGGGUUAGUCGGGUCCUAAGUCGAGUCCGAAAGGGGUAGACGAUGGCAAAUUGGUUAAUAUUCCAAUACCAACAUUAGUGUGCGAUGGAAGGACGCUUAGGGCUAAGGGGGCUAGCGGAUGGAAGUGCUAGUCUAAGGUUGUAGGAGGUUAUACAGGCAAAUCCGUAUAACAAUACUCCGAGAACUGAAAGGCUUUUUGAAGUCUUCGGAUGGAUAGAAGAACCCCUGAUGCCGUCGAGCCAAGAAAAGUUUCUAAGUUUAGCUAAUGUUGCCCGUACCGUAAACCGACACAGGUGGGUGGGAUGAGUAUUCUAAGGCGCGUGGAAGAACUCUCUUUAAGGAACUCUGCAAAAUAGCACCGUAUCUUCGGUAUAAGGUGUG